GACGAACGCUGGCGGCGUGCUUAACACAUGCAAGUCGAACGGUAAGGCCCUUCGGGGUACACGAGUGGCGAACGGGUGAGUAACACGUGGGUGAUCUGCCCCGCACUUCGGGAUAAGCCUGGGAAACUGGGUCUAAUACCGGAUAGGACCACUGCCUGCAUGGGUGGUGGUGGAAAGCUUUUGCGGUGUGGGAUGGGCCCGCGGCCUAUCAGCUUGUUGGUGGGGUGAUGGCCUACCAAGGCGACGACGGGUAGCCGGCCUGAGAGGGUGACCGGCCACACGGGGACUGAGAUACGGCCCAGACUCCUACGGGGGGCAGCAGUGGGGAAUAUUGCACAAUGGGCGCAAGCCUGAUGCAGCGACGCCGCGUGAGGGAUGACGGCCUUCGGGUUGUAAACCUCUUUCAGCACCGACGAAGCGCAAGUGACGGUAGGUGCAGAAGAAGGACCGGCCAACUACGUGCCAGCCGCCGCAGUAA
rnacentral:rRNA from 1 species